rnacentral:rRNA from 1 species
UGGGGAAUUUUGGACAAUGGGCGAAAGCCUGAUCCAGCAAUGCCGCGUGUGUGAAGAAGGCCUUCGGGUUGUAAAGCACUUUUGUCCGGAAAGAAAUCCUUGGCUCUAAUACAGUCGGGGGAUGACGGUACCGGAAGAAUAAGCACCGGCUAACUACGUGCCAGCAGCCGCGGUAAUACGUAGGGUGCAAGCGUUAAUCGGAAUUACUGGGCGUAAAGCGUGCGCAGGCGGUUUGCUAAGACCGAUGUGAAAUCCCGGGCUCAACCUGGGAACUGCAUUGGUGACUGGCAGGCUAGAGUAUGGCAGAGGGGGGUAGAAUUCCACGUGUAGCAGUGAAAUGCGUAGAGAUGUGGAGGAAUACCGAUGGCGAAGGCAGCCCCCUGGGCCAAUACUGACGCUCAUGCACGAAAGCGUGGGGAGCAAACAGGAUUAGAUACCCUGGUAGUCCACGCCCUAAACGAUGUCAACUAGUUGUUGGGGAUUCAUUUCCUUAGUAACGUAGCUAACGCGUGAAGUUGACCGCCUGGGGAGUACGGUCGCAAGAUU